rnacentral:rRNA from 1 species
UACGAAGGGGGCUAGCGUUGUUCGGAAUUACUGGGCGUAAAGCGUGCGCAGGCGGCUUCUCAAGUCAGGGGUGAAAUCCUGGAGCUCAACUCCAGAACUGCCUUUGAUACUGAAGAUCUUGAGUUCGGGAGAGGUGAGUGGAACUGCGAGUGUAGAGGUGAAAUUCGUAGAUAUUCGCAAGAACACCAGUGGCGAAGGCGGCUCACUGGCCCGAUACUGACGCUGAGGCACGAAAGCGUGGGGAGCAAACAGG